UGGCGGACGGGUGAGUAAUGUCUGGGAAACUGCCCGAUGGGGGGGGAUAACUACUGGAAACGGUAGCUAAUACCGCAUAAUGUCUACGGACCAAAGCGGGGGACCUCCGGGCCUCGCGCCAUCAGAUGAACCCAUAUGGGAUUAGCUAGUAGGUAAGGUAACGGCUUACCUAGGCGACGAUCCCUAGCUGGUCUGAGAGGAUGAUCAGCCACACUGGGACUGAGACACGGCCCAG
rnacentral:rRNA from 1 species